rnacentral:rRNA from 1 species
CCAGCAGCCGCGGUAAUACGGAGGAUGCAAGCGUUAUCCGGAAUGAUUGGGCGUAAAGCGUCCGCAGGUGGCAAUGUAAGUCUGCUGUCAAAGCGUCUGGCUCAACCAGAUAAAGGCAGUGGAAACUACAUAGCUAGAGUAAGGUAGGGGUAGAGGGAAUUCCUGGUGUAGCGGUGAAAUGCGUAGAGAUCAGGAAGAACACCGGUGGCGAAAGCGCUCUGCUGGACCUUAACUGACACUGAGGGACGAAAGCUAGGGGAGCGAAUGGGAUUAGAUACCCCAGUAGUC